AGAGUGAAAAAACUACAAACAAAUCAUCGUACAAUAUCUGAGUAAUACAGCAGCGUGUGAUGCUGAUAAAUAACAUCUAGGAAUGGAGUGGAACAGCUACAAUCUUGUCGUAGGCUCGAUGGAAUUUAUACACAACACAUAACAAUUCGCGAUACAUACUCAUAACUAGUUGGAAAUGUACAUUGCCAAUUUGGCUUCACCACCAAAAUAACUCAACUUCUGAUGUUCACAGGACUGCAUAAAGCAGCAUGAAGAAAAGGAGGAGUAAACUUAUGGAUCGUCAUGGGAGCAUUCUGUUAGUUCAGAACUCAGCAUGUGAUGCAGGAGGAAAUCUACUCGCUGGCUCCGAGUCUUAGUGCCAACAUUACGUCUCCGCUCACUUCUUGAUUCCUUGUCAUCACCAUCCGCACAGUUUGCUGCAGCCUCUAGAUCCAUUUCUGCUUGGAAAGCUUCCAAGACAAAUGCUACAAUCAAAUUCAACAGCCACAAAACUGAGAUAAGAUAGAAGCUGACGAAGUAGACAUAAGUCCAGGCAGUCCCCG
rnacentral:misc_RNA from 1 species